rnacentral:rRNA from 1 species
AUGUACGCCAUCGGCGGCAACCGGGACCCCACCAUCAUCAGCCAAGGGAACCGGUUCAUCGCGCCCGACGAUGGCAACGCCAAGGAGGUGACCAAGCGGGAGUACGCGCCCUACACCGAGUACAAGGACUGGGUGUGGAAGUCGCAGGGGGACGUGAUGGUGAACGGGGCCUCCUUCAACGAGUCCGGCGGCCAAAACGAGCGCAGGUACGGCAACAUGGACUUCAUCCCGGCCAAGCACGGCAGGUAUGUUGGGCAGCUCACGCGGUUCGCCGGCGUGCUCGACUGCCGCGUCGGCAAGCCGUGCUAG